GUACCCACUUCAGGAGCACGUAUACUAUAAUUGGAACAAUACUGAGAAGGUUAACAUGGCCUCUGCACAAGGAUGAUAUGUAAAUUUGUGAAGUGUUCCAUGUUGUG
ensembl:snRNA U6 U6 spliceosomal RNA